CGAUGUCUGGUGUAAAUAAUGACUAGUUGAAAUCCUAGGAACAGAAAAGAUUUACAGUCCACCGACUGCUGGAGACACUCAUUUCCUUCACGGUGGGUGCGUCUCAAUCAGCUCCCUAGUUCGCUAGUCAGGGCGCUGAUCAAGGAGUCGGCCAAUUUUACUUCGACAAACUGACUGAAGUUACAACUUGUGUACGUGACGUACUGAUUUAUCAGCUGGUUGCGACACAACCCAUGUUUGCAGGGCAAAGUCACAGGUAACAGUACGAGUUAGCAGAUGCUUUGUUCCAACAAGAGGAUGAUUCAAGUGCACUUCAAGUACCCGGAUGAUUCACUUACUCAACUGAAUAAAAUGUGGGAGUUUUAAGUAACAGGAGGGGGGGCUACCACGUACUCACGCUGGAUGAGAAGCUGGCCAAUGACAAUCCAGUGGACAUCUUACAAAGGUAUUAAAUUAGGUGGUUUUAUUUUAAAAAAAAUGAAACCACCCAAUUUAAGACCUUUGUCCCAGGAGAAAAUGUUCACCUUAAAAAGUACAUUUCUAAAAUUAAAACAAGAAGAGUUUUAUAUUAUAUGACUACACAGUAAAAUAUAGCUGCAAGCAGCGAUGACGGACCAAUGCACGGUGGGCAAGUGCAUCAAGUGGGUAAAUAUCAGUGGACUAUUUUAUGUUGUUACUGACCCAUUUGGGGACUGUAGGUAAAUGAAACCCCACAUUUUAGACAAAUGGGGGCGCUAGUGAGCCACUUAAGAGACACACCUUUGUCUGACCUUUUUGUCCACACUUAACAGCCGACAAAUGUGAUGUAUGUGUCAAAUUUCAAGUUCAUCUAAGCACGCCAAAAGCCUUAAAUAUGCCUGAAAUAAAAGUAAACUUUGACACGAUGCCAUGGCAACAUUCAUUCAUUCAUUCAUCUUCUACCGCUUAUCCGAACUACCUCGGGUCACGGGGAGCCUGUGCCUAUCUCAGGCGUCAUCGGGCAUCAAGGCAGGAUACACCCUGGACAGAGUGCCAACCCAUCGCAGGGCACACACACACUCUCAUUCACUCACGCAAUCACACACUAGGGACAAUUUUCCAGAGAUGCCAAUCAACCUACCAUGCAUGUCUUUGGACCGGGGGAGGAAACCGGAGUACCCGGAGGAAACCCCCGAGGCACGGGGAGAACAUGCAAACUCCACACACACAAGAUGGAGGCGGGAAUCGAACCCCAACCCUGGAGGUGUGAGCCGAACGUGCUAACCACUAAGCCACCGUGCCUUUUCGCAUCUGCAAUAUUCGCAUCUCCAAUAUCUCUGCAUCAUGGUGGCCAAGUGUGGUCUCAAUUGCAUGAAUCCCCUAGGAGGAGUAUUUAAAAGUUUACCGCAUGCAGCUGACAAAAAAUCCACCUUUGUGACUGACACACUUCCUGGGGCCUGUUGGUGGCGCUAUGUCCGAGAUUCACAAUAAGCACAUCGAUGCGAUCGGAAUCCUUGGCCGAACAUACACACCGCGUGUAAUCACAAUAAGACAUUUUUUGCUUUAAAUAUUAGACACUUCCUGUUUCUCUGAAUUCGCCAUAACUUAGUCGCCUCGCCAUGGCAGCACCGUUCGAGAUAUCAAAAAUCCCUUCGCAAUUUAGCAAGUGCAAUCACUCGGCAUCAUGUUCACCACGUUUGAUGUCAAUCGCAUGAAUUCCCUAGGAGGAGUAUUUAAAAGUUCACCGCAUGCACUUAUAAAACAAUCCAAAAUGGCCAACUUCCUGUUGGGCGGAGCUCAUAGUUUAGAGCGCGAAAGUGACUCUGAAGUGUGUGCCAAAUUUCAAGAGUUUUCGAGCAUGUUAAGGGACCCCAAUUGGCCAAUGUGUGGGGAAAAAAUAUAUAUAUAUAUAUAUAAAUAAUACUCCCGAGCAAAAACAAUAGGGCUUCGCACCAUUCGGGGCUCAGGCCCUAAUAAUAUAAAACUCUUCUUGUUUUAAAUUCUCACUGAGGGCUAAAACCCCCCUAAAGGUGAAAUCCUAGAACCGCCUUCUUAUGCCUACCGAAAAUCUUACUAUUUAUUUUUACUUCAAAUAUUUAAGUACAUUAAAUAUCAGAAAAUGACUUUUGAUACUUAAGUACAGUAAAUAUCAGAUACUUUAAGUAUCCCUUAAACAAAAGUGGCACCUUGAGUGGCAUCCAAGAUUAAUCUUGUCUCAAAUGCUAAGACGAAUUUUGGCUUAAAAAUACUUUUCAUGUAGGUUAAUAAUUUCCUACAAUGCCGUUUGUCUACCUGCUCCAAGUGCUUGAACCCUUCUAUGUAAAAAGAGCGAUGCAGCAGCGCUUAAGUACUUUACUCUGUCUCUCUCGUCACCUUCUUGCCAGUAUACUCUGACAACGCUCUGCUGACACAUCACACAGAUCUCAUAGACUGUUGGCACGAGACCAACGAGCUUGUGUAGGAAAAGGCUUCACAAUAAGUUUGACUUGACCGCGCAUGUUAAGACGAGUUCGUGAAGCGAAGGUUCGACAGUGGCAGAUGGACCUUUUCAACUGUUUCAACCAGCGACGGGCAAUGAAGCAGACAGCAAAAUGAUAGCUGAGAAAAUCUCAAAUGAACACACACACACACACACACACACACACACACACACACACACACACACAAAUAGUUCUUAGGCUACUUACCCUUAUGAAAGAGAAGGCAAAAGAAAUUUGACUGGCACAUGAAUGAAUAAACCUCCCCCUCUCUCUCUCUCUCACUCAAUCAUUAACUCAGGGAGAGCUAUAAGAUGUUGAGCAAAAUAUUAAACAUGACAGAGAGAGAGAGAGAGAGAGAGAGAGAGAAACAGACAGACAGAGACAGUGCGUUAAACCACAAAGGAGAAGAAGUUUAUGCAGCUCUGUUACAACGUCUGUAAAACAUAAAAAUAUUGGAAAACUGUCAGCUGAGAUAACCAUAACAGAAUGUUUUCUUAGCGUUAGAGUUAUUACUGAUGUAUUUUAUUUCAUCAAAUAAUAUGGGUAUAUGGUAGCCUAAUGGUUAAGGUGUUGGGCUACCAAUCGGAAGGUUGUGAGUGCUAUCCCAGGUCCACCAAGCUGCCACUGUUGGGCCCCUGAGCAAGGCCCUUAACCCUCAAUUGCUCAGUUGUACAAAAAUGUCGCACUGGAUAAGGGCGUCUGCCAAAUGCUGUAAAUGUUAAUAAUUUUUAUUUAAAAAAACAUUUUUUUUAAAUUCCAUGGAAUCUGGAACAAACGAAGCAGAAGUUGUAAAAGUCUUGUCCGGGUUUUUGGACUUUUUUCCUGCAGCACGUGUGUGUGAAAGACGGCAGACACAUGCGUUCCUCUGAGUGUGUUCUGCUGCACUGUAACACCAUCCUUUUCCAUCUAGUCUGUGGGAGUUGGAGAGUGAUUGACCUGUCUUUAGUCUUCCUGUCAGCUCAGACCACCAGUCUGGUCAUUCUCUUCCAAUCUCUUUCAUUAACAAGGUGUUUCAUCCUGCAGUCCCUCUGCUCACAGGUCGUUUUUUUGUCUUUCCCCUCACCCUUCUGUGUAAACUCUAGAGACUGUCGUUAAUGAAAAAUCCCAGGAAAUACCCUCGAGACAGUCACAGAGAUCAGAGAUUUUUUUUUUAUCAUUCUGAUGUAAAGAUGAACUGAUCUCCUGACCUACAUCUGCAUGAAUUUAUGUGUUGUGCUGCCACCUGGUUAAAUGGUUAGAGAACUGCAUGAAUGUGCUGAUGUUCCUAAUAAAGUGGAAAAUGAGUGUAUAAAGUGAUAAUACGUGACAAUGUUAUUCGCAUUUAAAUGAAGAAUUGAGGAUGCAUGUUGAACAUACCCUUAAAUGUGCUCACACAACACACACAGCACCAGGUUAAACUUUUUGAACCAUCAUUAAGUAAAACAUUGCAGCAGUGUGACGUAAACACACACCCCAACACACACAGUCCAGGAAAGCAAACACACGAUCAAGUCGAAUAAGA